rnacentral:lncRNA from 10 species
UGUAAAUUGGGGUGUAAAAUGCCACUGCAUAAGGUUUUCAUGACAAUUAAAUGAGUUAACAUAUGUAAAGUGGCUGGCACAUAGUAUGUGAGCCUAAGGGCUAGCUCUUAUUAUUACAUUAUCAUUAUGCCAAAAUAUUGACUAUGUAGAGUCUUGGCAUAAUGAAGGAUGCAGAGCUGUGGACAGAGAGGAUGUCUUUGCUCUCAGGCUUUAGAUCUUCCCCUUAGUCAAUGAGACUUUUCAAGCCAAAUGGCCUCAAUUGUCUAUCAGCCACACGGUGGAUCCAGGAACCCCCCUGCAAGGCUGUCCAGGACCUCUCCAAACUGUGCAGCAUGGCCACUUUCUCUUCAAGGCUUUGCCAGUUUUCAGAAGCAUUUCUGGGAGGGCAGCUACAGACCCUCCUCACUAUUUUUCCCUGUUCUCAUUCAUGAAAAAAGGAAAAUGCUUUUCUAGUCUAAAGAUGGAAGAAAGAUCUGGUCAUCUGUAUUUUUCUUAACUGUGAAUGUUUAAUUUUUCCUAGAAGUCUAGGGUUUAGGACACAAAAGCCUGGGAGAUCUGCAGGCUAUUUCUGGUUUCCAGGCCCUGCCUUAGGCAUCCCUCCUCUGAAGCAACUGCCACCCGCAUGAUGGGGGAAAAUUCAGUGAAAAAAGAAAAGAAGAAAGGUGCUGAGGGGACACAUGCAUCCGUUUCCAUCCCUGGAAUCAUCAGAUAUAAACGACUGAAGGGUACAUAGUGGCCGGAGCAGCAAAGCUGCAGAAAUAUCUGAAGCUGUCACAGCAGCAAAAAGCAGGAGUGCACUGGGGACCACUAAUGCCUGCUCUGCCAGAUGAGUUUGCAGACUCUGUGGAACACGGGAGCCACCUAAAUUAUCCCUCUUGGAAGAGAUCACAGAACUCACAGAAAAUACUUGGAAUAUUAGAAUCCAGAACCUUCCUUCCAGAAUACACAAAGCCCUAGUCCAACUCACUCAUUUUUCAAAGGAGAAAAAUUGAGAUACUAUGUGAGUUGCACAGCUAGCUAUGUGCAAAACCAAGACAAGAAUGAGUAAUCCAGCAUGAUGCCAUGGAUCAAUUUCUCACCCUGAGCCUCAACUUCUCCAUUGCUCCUCAGGAUUUAGAAGAAUGAAUGUUCAGUGGCAAUCAGCAGCCCAUAUAGACCCACUAGAAACUUAGAUAUUUCUAUAUGGUCAAUUGAAAUAGCAGCAAAGUGAGAGAUGUUUUCUAUCUAUAUGUUUUGGCGGAAAAAAAUGAAGAAAAGAGAAGUGGAUGGGCAAGAACUAGGAAAAUGGGGAUCCUGAAGUAUGCACAAGGUAUUUACCAAGGAGGAAAGAAAACAUCUGCUGAAAACAAAGCAGCUUUAUUCAUAGUAGCCAAAAUCUGGAAACAACCCAAACGUCUAUCACCAGGUAAACAUGUAAACAAAUUGUGGAUGUUCAUGCAAUGGAAUGCUAGUCAGCAAUAAAAAGAACAAACUACUGAGACACACAACAUGAAUGAAUCUCAAAAAACAUCACAUUGAUCAAAAGAAGCCAAAUGCAAAGAGAUUGCAUUGUGUGAUGCCAUUUAUAGGAAACUCAAGAAUGGGCAAACUAAGCUAGUGAUAGAAAUUAAAAAACAGUUGCCUCUAGAGAGGGGGAGGUAGAAUUGCUAGAAAGGGGCAUGAAGGGAUUUGCUGGAGUGAUAGAAAAUGGUCAAUAGCUUGUUGGGGAUGGUGGUCAUGAAUGUGGAACCUUGUCAAAACUCAUCAAACAGUAAGAAUAGUAAAAUUUCUUCAUUUUACUUUAUAGUAUGCAAAUCAUACCUCAGAUCAAAAAUAGAAAAAUUCAAACAUUAAGGAACUUGAAAUCUUUACGUCAAUCAAAUAUUGCUUCAAUAAUGUUGAUGUGGUUUGGCUGUGUCCCCACCUAAAUCUCAACUUGAAUUGUAUCUCCCAGAAUUCCCACAUGUUGUGGGAGGCACCCAGGGGGAGGUAAUUGAAUCAUGGGGGCUGGUCUUUCCCAUGCUAUUCUCUUGAUAGUGAAUAAAUCUCAUGAGAUCCGAUGGGUUUAUCAGGGGUUUCCGCUUUUCCAUCUCUCUCAUUUUCUCUUGCCGCUACCAUGUAAAAAGUGCCUUUCAUCUCCUGCCAUGAUUCUGAGGCCUCCCCAGCCAUGUGGAACUGUAAGACCAAUUAAACCUCUUUUUCUUCCCAG